rnacentral:rRNA from 1 species
GACGAACCGAGCGAGCGUUGUUCGGAAUCACUGGGCUUAAAGGGCGCGUAGGCGGGCUGUCAAGUCUGGGGUGAAAUCCCGCGGCUCAACCGUGGAACUGCCUCAGAUACUGACGGCCUCGAGGGAGAUAGGGGCGAGCGGAACUAAUGGUGGAGCGGUGAAAUGCGUUGAUAUCAUUAGGAACUCCGGUGGCGAAGGCGGCUCGCUGGAUCUUUUCUGACGCUGAGGCGCGAAAGCUAGGGGAGCAAACGGG